AAGCCCCUCUACAAAGCACUCAUGGUCUAUCUCUGUAGAUCCCAUUUAACUAAUGGUAACUAGAAGCUUCAGGCACAUCAUGAAAGGACUCGUUGGAGAAGAUGGAAUAACUCCAUAAGAAAGAAACUCCACCCUGGAAUUUGGAAGAACUGAGCAGGGCUGCCAUGGACCGGAUAUUUUGGAGUGCUGUCGUUCAUAGGGUUGCCUUAAGUUGGAAGCGACCUGACGGAACAUACCGACAGCAACUAGAAGCUGCGAAAUAAAUGCCUCCUUGAACAAGUCACCAUAGUCAUAUUCUAGAGAGAAGCACAAGUAGUGUGGUAAGAGCCAGUGCGGUAUAGUGGUAAAGAGUGCAGGACUGGGACUCAGGCGACCUGGGUUCUAGUUCCCGCCCAGCCAUGGAAUGAACUGGGUGACUUUGUGCCAGUCACAGAACCUCCCCAACAGGAGGAGGAGAAUGAUGUAAGCCACUCUGAGUUCUUUGAUAGAAAAAGGGUGGGAUAUAAAGCUAACAAAUAUAUAAAUAAAUGGGAAUCAAAGAUUAUAUUGACAAGACUUGUGCAGAGAUAACUAACACCUGUUUUUUUUACAAGGGUUAUAUUAUCUGCAUAGUAUAUAUAAGUUAUUCCUACAACUUCUUGUUUGGUUGCACAACAUCGUUUUAUGCAGCUGCUGAUAACAUGUUUUCCCAGUCAUUCAUGUUUCUACCUAAAUCCUUGUUUUUCCCAUGUCAGCAUCUGCAAAAUUACACAGGUAAGAGCAACCUGGGAACAACUACUCCCACGGACCAGUGGAUAGCAGUCAACCUCAAAAAGCAAACAAUAGUUAUUUGCUCAAUAAGACAAAUCACCAGUGCAGAAGGUAGCCCUUCGCACCCCCAUUUUCCAGGCUUCUGAUAUAAGAUGACACAAACAGAAAGCUUAAGAAAAAUUUCUGCGUAUCAGCACAUGAAGUGCACACCUUGUUCUUUUCCAAAAAUACCUGCAGUCUCGACCAGCCCCACUUCCUGUUAACAAUUACUUUGUUGUUGUUCUUGUAGGAGUCGGUAUUUUCAUUUGCUACACUAUAGUUUCAUAAGCACCUUUGAUUCUAAUCAGAUGCAGUUGUGAAAGUGCAACAGAGAGUUUUCCACACCACCACACACAAAAACACUCCUUGUAAAGAUCAUUCAUGGUCUUCUGAAGCGU